ACACACACACACACACACACACACUGACAUCUGUCCUCCCCACCAGGAAGGUGUGGCUACCACCUGCUAUGCAACUUGGAGGGAGUUGAACUCCCCUGGGGAAAACGGUUCCCCAGGAGCUCCCCUCCAUGGACCCUGACAGCAGCCAGACUGCCCUGUCUCCUUGGAGGGCAGGCUGUCCCGUGGAGAGCGCUGCACAGGGCUCAGGACCGGGACCAGGGACCAGGGCUGCCACCUGUCCCGUGUGACCCUGUGCAACUCACUAACCCUCCCGGGCCUCAGUUUUCCUCUCCUGUGAAGGGGACACUCAUUCCUACCUCAAGACUUUUCAGAAUAAAACGAAACAACACAAACUUUA